UUAAAAGACUGUAAAAAUUCAGUAAGCAGAUAUUGUCAAAAAAGAAACCGAUUUUGAACUUUUAUUUAAAUUUUUUUGCAAUUUCCUUGCUUAACGGUUUUCUCGGUCCAUGGUUGUUGUAUUCCAUGUCUUGAAUAAGGUUCUUAUUCAUUUCGACUCUCACGAUUGCAACUACCAACAAAAUCAGCUGUAAUCCAUCCAAUCUUAAAUGAUGAAGAAACUGCAUCUUUUCACACACUCUACCAAAAAAUGUAUUUUAUUUUUUGUUUGCAUGGGUUGUGGUAUUCAUAUGGUUUUGAAGAACUUACCUCGGAGCUAUGACAAGAACA